GUUUCGCCUCCAUCGUCGCCCUUGCAGAGACUUCCCGACACGCGCACUCGCUGUCUCUCUGAGGAGAGACAAUGGCGUCGUCAUCGGGUUCAGGCGAGGUCGCGACGGAGGGAAGAGGAACACCGGGUGCUCGGUUCGAGGAAGAUGUUCAGACUUACCUCGCUCAGCCAGGCCUCACCGUCAACUCUGCUCUCGCCUUUCUCCAAGAGCGGAUUUAUGAAAGUGAUGGACA